rnacentral:tRNA from 1 species
ACCUGGCUGGCUCAGUCAGUAGAGCAUGUGACUCUUAAUCUCAGGGUUGUGAAUUCAAGCCCCACGUUGGGCA